GCCAGUGUGGUUCAGUGGUUAGAGUGUCAGGCCAAGAAGUGGGAGGCCAGAGUUCAAAUCCCUACACAGCCA